rnacentral:misc_RNA from 1 species
GGGAAACACAGUAAGAAAUUUGAUAAAUUGCGAGGAAAGAAGGAUGAUAUGUUCUGUAAACCUGUGAUAAGCACGUCUGAAAUUGCAAAAAGGGUUGAGUCAUUUGCGUCAAGAAUAGAAAAAAGCCCAAACAUGAGACAGAUUACAUUACAAAGGUCUAAGCUACCAAUUGCUUCCUUCAAGGAUGCUAUUACGUCAACUAUAGAAUCUAAUCAGGUGGUCUUGAU